rnacentral:snRNA from 11 species
AGCCACGUGGUGGGCACAAAGCGAACUAUUCUUUCGCCUUUUACUAAAGAAUACCGUGUGCUCUCCACAUUUAGUGGCAUACGCUAAUUUUUGGAGAGUCCUCUUCUACUAGAGGGCU